CCAACACUGAACUAUACCUUCCCCCCUUUCUCCUGGACAUUUUAAAGUUAAUAUACAUAAGCUGGGAAGUGUUCAUUGUGAAAAUACAGAAUGAUAGGGUGGCGGACACGACAGCUCUGGUCUCUUAUCAAAAGACAGUUGAGAAUUACAUCUUGGUACUUUUUUCUCCUGUCCUUUUUAUUCUCACAUUUGUUGUUGAGCCUGCCUUUUUUCCUUUCUGGAGUUGUGAGUGAUGUCCAGGCCCUCCCCACCCACCUUAUACAUGUUUUCGUACACAUUUUAACUUGAGAGAUGGAUUUGUAAAUGUGCAUUUGUUUUAUUACCCCUGACAGCUAGAGACCAAGUAGAGGUGAAAUGAAAAAAUGAUGCAGUGAGGAGGCUCCAAGUGAAAAUUAUUUUUUAGUGGCAUCUGGGCUAUGAGAGUCAGUAUUUGGAACAAAUGGCCUUUUAACACUUAUGUUAUCAACCUAGUUGUUUGUUGGAGAAAUGACAACAAUGUUGUUUUUUUCAUGCCUUUUAAACCAUUUGAAUAAAAAUCAAAGGUGAAAACAGAACUUUCUCUCAACAGGAGAAAUGGCAUGAUUCACGACGCUGGCAGCUCACUGUGGCCACAGAGCAACCUGAGCUGGAAGGACCACGGGAAGGAUAUCGAAGCUUCAGGGGUCAGCGAGAAGGCAGCCGUGGUUUCAGAGGACAGCGGGAUGGAAAAAGAAGCUUCAGGGGACAGCGGGGAGGAAGCAGAAACUUCAGAGGAGGAUCAGGAGGUGGAAACAAAAGCAACAGAUCCCAAAACAAAGGCCAGAAGCGGAGUUUUAGUAAAGCAUUUGGUCAGUGAUUAGAAGUAGAGGAUUUGUGUGGCAGAAACAGGACUAUGGCACUAUGGAACUGAGUGGUAUUUUUCACACAGAAUUAAAGGCAGGUUGUUUCCUUUUGACCACUUGGCCAGUCCAUAUCCCCAGAAGAAAGACAGGCUUAAUCUAAAUUAUUUCAUCUGAUCAUUAUCAUUUCUAACUUUAUUGCUUUUAUUGGGUUUUCCUUUUGAAAAGUAAUGAAUUGAUUACAUUGUUAUUCUGAUAUAUUCUCUGUAGAUAUAAGAUAGAAUCAAGCAUGUAUGUCUAUACUUGUAAGUUGAUCUUCUUGUGUUUGUGUGCUGGGGAUUGAACCCAGGGCCUCCCACAUGCUAAGCAUGUGCCCUGUCACUAAGCUACUUAAUAGUAGCUUAAUAGUGUGCUCUUAAUAGUAUCCUCUUAAUAGUAUGCUCUUAAUUGUAUGCUUCCCUAAAGUAAAUAUUUACGGGAAUACAAUAAUCUGUGAAGGACCACAUUAGCCUUUAAAAGUCAAAAGCUUUGUUUUGUAAUUGGUAUCUUCAGCCUCCUGCCAGGUACUUAGUUGUGUGGUUCUCUAAUUUGCCUUCUGAGAAUUUAUACUGAGCAAUGUUUUGAAAUGAGUUUCAAACUUAGCUAGGUUGUGAUAGUUUAUGCCUGUGUAUAUGGUCUAGAUUUGAAGGAUGAAAUAACAUUCAAUAUAGGUUACCCAUGGUCAUGUGCAUUUUUAAACGCUUUUAGCUUCUCACUGUAAGGUGAGUCAUGCUUCAGUAAGUUCUUCACAGAUAAUAUAUAUAGAGAGAGAAAUACAUUUUGAUAGAAAGCCUGUGACUUUAAGGAAUUCCAAAUGUAUAAGAUGGCUCUGUAGCUUUCUUUGUAAAUAAGGAGGCUAGAUAAAUAGUGUUUGAAUGAUUGUACUCCACUUCUUCCUAUUGGAAGAUCAACAUUAUUAAGAAGGAAUUAAGGGAAUAGGGGACACAGGUUUGUGUAGAGUAUGUGCAAAAAAACUCACUAAAAAUAUUCUUUACAUGUAAGAAGGAAUAUUAAUAAGUGAAAAGCAAAGAGUACAAGUGAAGAUGCAUGAUAAAACAUUAUUUUAAUGAUUGAUGUGUAUUUCAAGAGGUUUACUUUUAAUGGGCAAACUGGGGUUUUGGGGGAGAAUGGUCUGCUGUAGUUUCUCAAUAGCCUAGAUUUUAAAGCCACAGAGUAGGACCUGUUUCUGUAAAACUGAUUCUCUCUUGAAAUGCUUUCAUUGAUUUAGAGACUUCCUUUAAGACAAACUGAAUGGUUAUUUAAGUUGUUUCUCUGUGGGAACUGAAUACUUAUUGUAGUUCCUGUCAGAUAACUACACCUGAGGACUUCAGUGUUUGUUGGAAACAUUCUACACAGCAUAGGUGCUCCAGAGUGGCAUUGUCCUCUUGCCUUAAUUUCUAGAAAUUGUCUUUGGUCUGUUUUUUUCCUCUAAUUGCCUCUCACUUGAUCAACUAGCAAAAAGGGGCUCUGAUAGCCAAUUUAGCUCCUGAUCAUUGAAAACAUCCUUUUUCUGUUUGAGCUUCAGUUUUAUCCGUAAGUCUGGGACCAGGUAUUUCUUGCUGUUUGAGAAUUCUCUUGGCCUUUUAUUCUUUUAUCCAUUUGUCAAUUUUAUCACUUUGUUUUUAUUCCUCAUGGAUUCCCAUCAAGCCACAGGGAAUUAGGAAAAGGUAUUUGAUGACAGUCCACAUGUGCCUUUGGGUUAUAAUUUAUUAGAUUCUGGUUUUGUUCAGAUACUUGGACAUGCUUUAGUAGAAACUAAAACAUCUAACAAUUUGGAUAGGAAUGGGUAACCUCAGGCAGUUUUGAAGACUAUAGUAACUGUGCAUGAUGGGAGUACACACCUGUAAUCCCAGCUGUUAUGGAGGCUAAGUCAAGGAGGAUCACAAGUUUGAGGCCAGCCUGGACAAAUGAUGAUAUUUUGUCUCAAUGAAAUUUUGAAAGGGGCUGGAUGUGGUAGAGCACUUGCCUAGCAUGUGAGACCUUGGGUUCGAUCCCAAGUACUAAAAAGAUUUGAUAGCUAUCCUUUAUGAAAGAUAGCUAAACCUUUUUUAUGUGGAUUAUGGAUUAGCCUAAAUUAGAAAAAUGAUCAGGCAUAAUGAAGAGUGAAAAGGAAGAGUAAUAGGAAUUUCACUUUAUACAACUUAAUUUUAAGAAAAACAUGGCUCUUUCAAUAAACGAAGCUAACAUUUCUUUUGGAUUCCAGAAUUCAAACCAUAUUUAUAAGUGUAUAAUUGAGCUGUUAUUUGGUUUAAGUGGACUUUUUGGGCUAGCCUGGGAAAUGUUAUCAUUUUUACUGUUUUCUACAGAGAAAAUAUUUUCAGAGUUAUGUGUCAAAUAAUUCAACAGACUUAAAAAUUACAACCCAUUUUUGUGUUGGAGCUCUGUGCAGUGUUUCCUCUGCAGUUGUACAUAAAAUGUUUUUACUGUAAAUGAGUUAAUAUAACAUGUUACUUUAUGCCAUAAUAAAAAAAGAUAUUAGUACUUUAUGGUUUUGGUGGCUUUUUGUUUUCUAAAAUGAAAAUAGCCCAAAAUCAUAUUAUAAAAACAAUAAAAGUUGACCAUAAAAAUCUAAGAAUAAAAACAAAGUCAAGAGUCACACCAUGUCUGAUAUUUUGGUGAGCAAUAUUCCGUAUAUUCAUUUAUAAAAUUAGAGUCAUCCAGUUUUGUGACUUAUCUGGAAUUGUUUCUCUGCCCCCCCAACGUUCUGUGCACACCUUUCUGUAAACACAGAUCUAGGAUGACUGUUUCUUAGUGUUUUGGCACAGAGGAUUGAACUUCAGUACUUUACCACUUAGCUAUUCCCCCAAGUUCCCUGCCCCCUCCCCUUUUAUUUUUUAAAGAUUUGAGAUGGUCUCACUGAAUUGCUGAGGCUGUCCUCAAACUUGGGCUCCUCCUACCUUAGUCUCUCAAGUAGCAGGGAUUAUAGGUGUGUGCCACCAUUACCCACUCCAGUGAUAUUUUUGAUACCGUGUUUUCUCAAAUAGAUAAGCCACUACACAUUUAACUCAGACUGGCUAACCACAUCGGUAUUUCCUCAUUUUUCACUAUCUUAGGCAACUCUACAGUUAUAGCCUACUUUAUAUCUGUAUAUUUGUCUGUUAUUUUAGGAUAUGUUUUCUAAAAGAAUUGCAGAAUGAAAGUGAAUGUACUUGAGUUUUUGGUGUAAAUUGCUCUCCAAAUUAGUACCAAUUUACAUUUCAAUCAAUGUCUCUGAGAACCUGUUUCCCUGCACCACUGCACAAUUAGAUUUUAUCUUUUUCAGUUUGCUAGGCACCAAAUAAAAUUGCAUUGUUUUAUUUGCAUUCUUUAAUUGAGGAAUAACAUCUCAUAAUGGCUAUUUAUGUUAUUUUUAUUCAUUAAACAUUUGUCAGUUUUUAAAUUGGGAGCUGUCUUUUGUUGAUAAGAGUUCUUUAUUAUUAGCAUGUAACAUUUUCCAAAUUCAUUUGUAUUUCAACUGAAGUGUUUUUUUGACAUGGAAUUUUAUAUUUUUAUGCAAAUGUAACCCGUCUUUUAUUGUUUUUAUUAUCAAGGAAAUGCCUAAAUAAACUCUCAAGUUUCACUUGCUCCUAAUUGACUUAAAAAUCACUAAUUUUGG
rnacentral:lncRNA from 1 species